rnacentral:lncRNA from 1 species
AAGAGGGGACCCCUCCAAAGUCAGGGAGUGGAACAGAGUCGGGAACUUUCACAAAAGAGAGUCAACUCCAAAAUGUGAAAGGGUACUCUUCAAAUGAAGAGUUAUUUUAAAACCAAAGUAACAGCCUGAUGGAUGGAUGCCUGUACAGACAGCUCAUCUUCACUUCUGAGCCUCAGCAGGACUUAGCUGGGCUUCUGGAGUACUGAGCUGAGCCUGCAGCUGUGCAGCCUGGAGCAGCGCUCCCAAUCCAAGAGUGGGAGGUCUGUGGGACCACAGAUUUCACCAGCUGACUGCAGAAAAACCCUGAGUUCAUCUCAACACCUGUCUUCAUCUCAACACCUGUGUUCUGAGUUGUCCAAGCCCCGGGAACCUGGGUCCUAGUGCUUAAUGAUUAUCUGUCAGAAGGAUGGAUGAAUAGAUCGAUGGAGAAACUAAGGAGCAAAGCAAUCAGUGAUUUGUUCCAGCCCACUCCGGAAGAGGGCUGCUCAGUCAGGGUAGAAACCUAGUUUCCAGGGCUGUUUUCCAAUUCACAAAUCUGCUACGUCUAUGCAGGUGAGUUUUUGUUGGGGAUUUUGUUUUUAAGU